rnacentral:rRNA from 1 species
CAGCCGCCGCGGUAAUACGUAGGGAGCGAGCGUUGUCCGAAUUCACUGGGCGUAAAGCGCGCGUAGGCGGGUUUUUAAGUUGGUGGUGAAAUCCCGAGGCUCAACCUCGGAACUGCCUCCAAAACUGGGAACCUUGAGGUAUGGAGGGGGAAGUGGAAUUCCAGGUGUAGCGGUGAAAUGCGUAGAUAUCUGGAGGAACACCCGUGGCGAAGGCGGCUUCCUGGCCAUAUCCUGACGCUGAGGUGCGAAAGCUAGGGUAGCGAACGGGAUUAGAUACCCCGGUAGUCCUAGCCGUAAACGAUGGAUACUAGGUGUUAGAGGUAUCGACCCCUCUAGUGCCGAAGCUAACGCAUUAAGUAUCCCGCCUGGGGAGUACGACCGCAAGGUUGAAACUUAAAGGAAUUGACGG